rnacentral:miRNA from 1 species
UUGGUCCCUUUCAACCAGCUU